CUGGAUGCAGUACUCCAGAUGGGGUCUCACUAGAGCAGAUUAGAGGGCAGAAUCACCUCCCUCAACCUGCUAGUCACACUUGAUGCAACGCAGUAUACAAUUCUCCUUCUGGGCUGCAAGUCCACAUUGCUGGCUCACGUUGAGUCUUUCAUCAAUCAACACCCCCAAAUCCAUCCCUUUGUCAUGUUUAAGAAAUCUUUAUCUGCAAAACUGCCUGUACUGCCUUUUGUUUUAGAGCAUGCUUCUCCCAUGUUCAGUUCUGCUUGUUUCAGAUUUUGGUUAAACAUCCUUGUCUUUUUACAGCUGUUAACCAUAGUCCAGAUCUGUUGUAUGAAAUGCUGUCACAUUGCCAUAGUUUGUUGAUUAUCCAGAGCUUAGCAAGAGUGGACAAGUUUCAAACUUAAAUCUCCUGCUUAUUCCUUGGAACUUUAUUUUUCUUCAGUUUACCUGAUUUACGCUACCCCCCCUACCCUGUUUUCAUUCAAGUAAUCUGUCCUAAGUGUCACAGAUCAUAAGCAAAGACCAUAAGCAAAUACUCUCCUGAAAACAGGCCACUGUUUUAGGAGAGAUGUGCAAAUGAGUACUUUGCAUACACUUCAAAUAGUACCGUGUCUUAGGCUUUUAUGGCAUAGCACAAGACUUCUACAGAUUUUGUGUUUUUAUAAGAUAAUCUCAUGCUAUUUUAUGAUGCAGUGCAGCACUUACGUGUCAGAGAACAGAAAACUUGAAGGGUUUUGGAACUCAUAAAUAAGAGUGGGUAGGUGGUUUCUAAUCCACUGUGGAGCUGCAGCAAAACACAGCAGUGUUAAGCACUAGUAACGUGCUUUCAUGUGAGGGGUGAAACUCAUGCAUGGUGAAAGUGGGAAGUCUAGCUCAGAAAAUACAGGAGAUGAGAAGAACCUCAAUGUCAGAGAAGCAGGCUUCAUGGUUAUGCAUUACCAAAUGGUACAUUUAACAGAAGAAGAUGUGUGCUGUAAGGGCUGAGGACUCAGCAGUUUAUUUGAGUAUUGGUUCCUUGGAGGACUUUCAGAUCUCUGAAGUUCGUAUUUUCAAGCUUUACGGUGUAUGUGAUCUAAUAGAAAUUCCCCUGGCAUCUUCUGUAGGUCUCUGAUAUUUCAGGUUUGAUGAUGAAAGUAGUCAGCUAAAUGGUUGGUUCUAAAUAUAGGAAGCCUUUUAAGUGAGUUCACAGAAAGAAUUAACCUUUUCCCCUCCUCACACACCUCCUGGCAAUUUGAAUAAUUGAUUUUAGAUAGGUAAUGAAGUUUAAUAACAGUAUGAUGAAUACACUUAAGUUCUGCAGCUUAUUUCACAUGCUCCUGAAAACAGAUGCUUCAUAAGAGACAGACCAUUUUUCUGAUAAUUUGUGUAGACAUAGAGCUUGGUUUACUUCUUUACUGUUUAACAUCUUCUUCUUGUCUUUACUCACUAGUUCUACAUCAAGGUAAUCCAACAGUUUAUAGUGAAUCAUUCCUGACCCUUCCUGAUUUGACUAUAUUUCAUAAUGAGAACCAUGGUAAAUAGUGUGUGGCCUCUUAAAAUUUGUCACUUUUCUUCAAGCCUUCAGUUUUUCUAACUGCCCACAGAAGCCUCUGAAUACAGAUUGUAACACAGUGUCUCUAGCAGGAACUGAAGAGAGCGUGAGUAUACACAGAUAUUCCCUGUAUCAAGAUUUGUCUUCAUGUGAUUUUCUACCAUAUUCCGAGCUAACCUGGAAAAAGCAAAUUAGGAAAAAUGAUUAUUAGUUUUGUGGAAGAGUUACUUACAGGCUGUUAGUUUGGUAUUUGGUCUACUGUACUCAAGUGUGAUAACGGAUAAUCCAUUUGCUAAAUUAGAAUAAGGUUUUACUACUAGAACUUCUUUUCAGAAAAUUUGUAAACAGAAGCUAAGAAGUCAAAAGACAAUGAAAGCAAUCAAUAAUAAAAGAUAUAUACACAUCUCCUGCUUUUAAAAUGCAUGAGCAUAAAUGUGUAGAUGGAAACACUCUAUCUGUUAGAACUACCCAUCACUAAAGAAAUUAACAUUUUAAUAUAAGAAUUUGCAAUGCAGGUUAUGAAAUCUUACUUUGUGGAUCUUUAUAGCUGGUUAUUGUAUAUAAGUAUCUGCAACUGGGUGAGUUGCAUCAGUUAUACAGACUACAGAUUGAGAUGUUACCUCUCUCUGACCUGAAGCUCUUCAUUUUAGACACACAUAUAUAUGCUUCAUGUACGAUAUAUGCUUCAUGUAUGAUGAUGCAUGUGUGCUUUGCGUUUCAGUAAACCAAACACAUAAUACAUGAUCCAGAAAUGGCUGAAUUGGGGAAAUAACUACAUUGAUGUGAACAUCUGUUUUUGAUAUAAAAAUGUUGAGGCAUUUUUGGAAGGAAAAGCUUUUCCUUUGUCUUUUGAUACUCUGCACAAUUUUCAUUUCAUUCAUCAGACCAAUAAAUCUCUGCUGAUUUGCUCUAGUGAGUGAAAAAAACUGUACAUCAGUGAAUUUUGUGUGCUAGCAAGUAAACCAUUCUACAAGAACAGCUUCUGUUUCAGGAAACAUGUUCUAUUUCUCGUUUUCAUCAGUGUUAGUGUACCUGUAAUUGUUUACGAUGCUUCAUAGCCUACUCGUCAAUGUUGUGUCCUAUGUCUGCAGAAAUAAUGAAACCAUAACAAUGAGAAGCUUGACUACAGAAUAUGCUCUAUCAUUGAAAGGCAAUCCCUGUAAGAGUGCUUAUGUUUCCAGCACCAAUGGAGAACACAGACUUGUCUCCUUUUCCUGGAAAGCAAGAGAUCAGGCUGGGAUGCAGACAUAAAACUCCUCUACACCAGUCCUCUCCAGAAAGCAAUUUGGUUUUCUUUUAUUGCUCUACACAUUCCAUAAGAAAGUUGAGUUUGAACAUGCUUUUUGCUGUGUCUGCGCGUUGAUUUUGUAUUUAUUUUAAUAGCUCUGCCUGGUGGUUUUUGCCUGAAUCCAACUAAUGCAUUUGUAAGGUGCUAGCUAGUAUAAUAAAUAAAUAGAUGGCAACCAGCAGAGUGUUGCUGUAAGAGAAGAGAUGAGGCUUGCUAUUUCUGCAAGCAGCUCUUAUUUGUUACUUCAGACCAUAAAUUGAGCAUAGGAAUUAACAUAAAAGAUCAGUUCAGCCUUUGCAAUACUCUUGUAUUCUGCCUUCUUACACUCCUGUCACCCUGGGCACUUCAUCCACAAUCCAAAAUGUCUGUGUUGGAGAUAAUGUGAUGUGAGUUUUGGUGUUUAUUGUUGUUUUACUUUGUUUUUUCUCUUAACCUCAGUGAUCAAGGUUGACCAAUUACCUGGAAAAAAAAUAAAAAUGUUUCAUGGCUCAUCAA